UUGCAUUGCAAAUAAAAGUUAAAGUAAAAGUUUCAAUAAUGAAGUUCUUCAAAAAUUACAAAAGAGCCCAAAAAUAAUGAAAAAAAAUCGCAUUGCAAAUAUAAGUAAAGUAAAAAUUUCAAUAAAUUGCAUGUAAAAGUUUCAAAUUGCAUGUAAAUAUAACUCAAAAAUUACAAAAAAGCCCAAAAAAUAAUUUAAAAAAUUACAAAAAAAUCCAAAAAUAAUUGAAAAAAUUGCAAAAUAGCCC
rnacentral:lncRNA from 1 species